rnacentral:miRNA from 1 species
UGAUUUUGUUGUUUUCUUUU